rfam:Mucinivorans hirudinis complete genome
UUAGGUGGCGAUAGCGAUGAGGUACCACCUCUUCCCAUUCCGAACAGAGAAGUUAAGCUCAUCAGCGCCGAUGGUACUGCACCGCAAGUGUGGGAGAGUAGGUCGCCGCCCAGU